GAGUAGGGUGGGACCCUCAUCUGACUAGAGCCUUAGCAAAGAGAAUGCCAUGUGAAGAGAAAGAGACAUGCAUAGAGGGAAAAGGACGUGAAGAGACACAGGAUGAAGAUGACCAUCUACAAGCCAGGGAGAGAGGCCUGGAGCUGAUCCUUCCCUCGCAGCCCUCAGGAGGAACCAACCCUGCUGAUACUUGGGUCUCUUCCAAAGUGUGAUUAUUGGAUGGAAUCUGUGUGAAGUGCAGGUGGUGAAGUGCUUGGCUAUACCUCAAAAGAUAUGCAAUUAACAGGAGGGAAAGGAGGUGGCAGGGUGUGACUGAAGCAGGGAAGAGCCAGCAAGCCACCACUGCAGUGCUGAGACUGCACGCAGCCCCAAACUUCACAGAAAGGCCUGCAACAUCAUGUCAAGAUUCGAUGCUCCAAUAUUCCCUCCAAGUGGCUA